AUUGAACGCUGGCGGCAGGCCUAACACAUGCAAGUCGAGCGCGCGGCGGACGGGUAAGUAAGGUUUGGGAAAUUGCCUGAUGGAGGGGGGUAACUACUGCAAACGGAAGCUAUUACCGCAUACCAUCAGAGGUGCCCAGAGGGGAUUAGCUAGUAGGUGGGGUAACGGCUCACCUAGGCGACGAACCCUAGCUGGUCUGAGAGGAUGACCAGCCACACUGGAACUGAGACACGGUCCAAACGCCUACGGGAGGCAGCAGUGGGGAAUAUUGCACAAUGGGCGCAAGCCUGAUGCAGCCAUGCCGCGUGUGUGAAGAAGGCCUUCGGGUUGUAAAGCACUUGCAGCGGGGAGGCGGUACCCGCAGAAGAAGCACCGGCUAACUCCGUGCCAGCAGCCGCGGUAAUUC
rnacentral:rRNA from 1 species